rnacentral:rRNA from 1 species
UACAGAGGGGGCAAGCGUUGUUCGGAAUUACUGGGCGUAAAGGGCGCGUAGGCGGCCUUCUAAGUCGAACGUGAAAUCCCCGGGCUCAACCCGGGAACUGCGUCCGAGACUGGAAGGCUUGAAUCCGGGAGAGGGAUGUGGAAUUCCAGGUGUAGCGGUGAAAUGCGUAGAUAUCUGGAGGAACAUCGGUGGCGAAGGCAGGUCUCUGGGCUGACACUGACGCUCAUGCACGAAAGCGUGGGGAGCAAACAGG